rnacentral:rRNA from 2 species
CGAACUCUGGUAUUGAUUGGUGCUUGCAUCAUGAUUUACAUUUGAGUGAGUGGCGAACUGGUGAGUAACACGUGGGAAACCUGCCCAGAAGCGGGGGAUAACACCUGGAAACAGAUGCUAAUACCGCAUAACAACUUGGACCGCAUGGUCCGAGGUUUGAAAGAUGGCUUCGGCUAUCACUUCUGGAUGGUCCCGCGGCGUAUUAGCUAGAUGGGUGAGGUAACGGCUCACCAUGGCAAUGAUACGUAGCCGACCUGAGAGGGUAAUCGGCCACAUUGGGACUGAGACACGGCCCAAACUCCUACGGGAGGCAGCAGUAGGGAAUCUUCCACAAUGGACGAAAGUCUGAUGGAGCAACGCCGCGUGAGUGAAGAAGGGUUUCGGCUCGUAAAACUCUGUUGUUAAAGAAGAACAUAUCUGAGAGUAACUGUUCAGGUAUUGACGGUAUUUAACCAGAAAGCCACGGCUAACUACGUGCCAGCAGCCGCGGUAAUACGUAGGUGGCAAGCGUUGUCCGGAUUUAUUGGGCGUAAAGCGAGCGCAGGCGGUUUUUUAAGUCUGAUGUGAAAGCCUUCGGCUCAACCGAAGAAGUGCAUCGGAAACUGGGAAACUUGAGUGCAGAAGAGGACAGUGGAACUCCAUGUGUAGCGGUGAAAUGCGUAGAUAUAUGGAAGAACACCAGUGGCGAAGCCGGCUGUCUGGUCUGUAACUGACGCUGAGGCUCGAAAGUAUGGGUAGCAAACAGGAUUAGAUACCCUGGUAGUCCAUACCGUAAACGAUGAAUGCUAAGUGUUGGAGGGUUUCCGCCCUUCAGUGCUGCAGCUAACGCAUUAAGCAUUCCGCCUGGGGAGUACGGCCGCAAGGCUGAAAACUCAAAGGAAUUGACGGGGGCCCGCACAAGCGGUGGGAAGCAUGUGGUUUAAUUCGAAGCUACGCCGAAGAACCUUACCAGGUCUUGACAAUACUAUGCAAAUUCUAAGAAGGAUUAGACGUUCCCUUCGGGGACAUGGAUAACAGGUGGUGCAAUGCUUGUCGUCAGCUCGGUUCGUGGAAUGUUGGGUUAAGUCCCGCAACGAGCGCAACCCUUAUUAUCAGUUGCCAGCAUUAAGUUGGGCACUCUGGUGAGACUGCCGGUGACAAACCGGAGUGGGGUGGUGAUGACGUGAAAUCAUCUAGCCCCUUCAUGACCUGGGCUACACACGUGCUACAAUGGA